GCAAAAGCCCUAUUCAGGGCUACCAAAAAUUCAGUUGUCGAAUUCAU
rfam:Picea glauca, whole genome shotgun sequence.